GACAUCCAAUUCUGGACCUUUUAACUCUCCCUCCAGCUUUGGGGCAGAAACAUCAACAUCUCCUUUGAUUUUGGGUCCCUUUAAAUUGAAAUCAACAUCAGGCAUGGAGAUCUUGGGGGUCUUGAAGUGCAUCUCAGGCAUCUUAAACUUGGGCCCUUUCAACUUUGCAUCAGGACACUCCAGCUCAACAUCAGGCACCUCCACACCCACACUGGGACCUGUUAAAUCUCCCUCCAAUUUUGGCACCGACACAUCCACAUCCCCUUUGACUUUGGGGCCUUUCAAGUGUAAGUCCACAUCAGGCAUGGAGAUCUUGGGGGCCUUGAAGUGCAUCUCAGGCAUCUUAAACUUGGGCCCUUUCAACUUUGCAUCAGGACACUCCAGA
rnacentral:lncRNA from 1 species